CCGCUAUGGCCACACUCGGGAUUAGGUCGUUCACCUCUGUCAUCAUUGUGGUGAACUUGACCGUAUAAUCCCUCAGAGACAGUUUGUCCUGUCUGAGUGCCAGGAGUGCGUUGGCACUAUGUUUUAUCCUUAUCAUCCCCACGUGUUGGGCGAUGAAUUUGGAUGAGAGGUCUGCAAAGCUGGUGACUGAGCCAGCUGGCAGACCGGAGAACCAUCGAUAAGCGCUGCCCUUG
rnacentral:lncRNA from 1 species